UACGAAGGGUGCAAGCGUUAAUCGGAAUUACUGGGCGUAAAGCGUGCGUAGGCGGUUUCUUAAGUCUGUCGUGAAAUCCCCGGGCUCAACCUGGGAAUGGCGAUGGAUACUGGGCAGCUAGAGUGUGUCAGAGGAUGGUGGAAUUCCCGGUGUAGCGGUGAAAUGCGUAGAGAUCGGGAGGAACAUCAGUGGCGAAGGCGGCCAUCUGGGACAACACUGACGCUGAAGCACGAAAGCGUGGGGAGCAAACAGG
rnacentral:rRNA from 1 species